rnacentral:sRNA from 1 species
CCUCCAUGAUCUGCGGGCAGAUCAGGUGGACGUGACAGUCGAUGGCCCCUGCCGUGAGGAUGCGGCCGUUGCCCGCGAUGAUUUCCGUCGACGGGCCGACCACGAGAUCGGGAUGAACGCCGGACAUGAUGUCCGGGUUACCGGCCUUGCCGAUCGCGGCAAUACGGCCGUCACGGAUCCCGAUGUCGGCCUUGAUGAUUCCCCAGUGAUCGAUGAUGACCGCGCCCGUGAUGACGGUGUCGGGGGCACCGUCGGCACGGGUCGCCCGGGACUGCCCCAUCGACUCGCGCAG